rnacentral:rRNA from 1 species
UACAGAGACUGCAAGCGUUGUUCGGAUUCAUUGGGCGUAAAGGGUGCGUAGGCGGCGCGGUAAGUCGGGUGUGAAAUCUCGGAGCUUAACUCCGAAACUGCAUUCGAUACUGCCGUGCUUGAGGACUGGAGAGGAGACUGGAAUUUACGGUGUAGCGGUGAAAUGCGUAGAUAUCGAGAGGAACACCUGCGGCGAAGGCGGGUUGCUGGGCUGAUACUGACGCUGAGGCGCGAAAGCCAGGGGAGCGAACGGG